CACCGCCCGUCACACCAUGGGAGUGGGCUGCAAAAGAAGUAGGUAGUUUAACCUUCGGGGGGACGCUUACCACUUUGUGGUUCAUGACUGGGGUGAAGUCGUAACAAGGUAGCGCUAGGGGAACCUGGCGCUGGAUCACCUCCUUA
rnacentral:rRNA from 2 species